GGGCCCGCACAAGCAGUGGAGCAUGUGGUUUAAUUCGAUGCAACGCGAAGAACCUUACCAGGCCUUGACAUCCUCGGAACUUUCUAGAGAUAGAUUGGUGCCUUCGGGAACCGAGUGACAGGUGCUGCAUGGCUGUCGUCAGCUCGUGUCGUGAGGUGUCAGGUUAAGUCCUAUAACGAGCGCAACCCUUGUCCUUAGUUGCCAGCACUUCGGGUGGGAACUCUAAGGAGACUGCCGGUGACAAACCGGAGGAAGGUGGGGACGACGUCAAGUCAUCAUGGCCCUUACGGCCUGGGCUACACACGUGCUACAAUGGCUAGGACAGACGGCCGCAAACCCGCGAGGGGGAGCCAAUCCGACAAACCUAGUCGUAGUCCGGAUCGGAGUCUGCAACUCGACUCCGUGAAGUCGGAAUU
rnacentral:rRNA from 1 species